rnacentral:rRNA from 1 species
UGAACAUUGAGCCUUGAUGUGUAGGAUAGGUGGGAGGCUUUGAAGUGUGGACGCCAGUCUGCAUGGAGCCGACCUUGAAAUACCACCCUUUAAUGUUUGAUGUUCUAACGUGGACCCGUAAUCCGGGUUGCGGACAGUGUCUGGUGGGUAGUUUGACUGGGGCGGUCUCCUCCUAAAGAGUAACGGAGGAGCACGAAGGUUGGCUAAUCCUGGUCGGACAUCAGGAGGUUAGUGCAAUGGCAUAAGCCAGCUUGACUGCGAGCGUGACGGCGCGAGCAGGUGCGAAAGCAGGUCAUAGUGAUCCGGUGGUUCUGAAUGGAAGGGCCAUCGCUCAACGGAUAAAAGGUACUCCGGGGAUAACAGGCUGAUACCGCCCAAGAGUUCAUAUCGACGGCGGUGUUUGGCACCUCGAUGUCGGCUCAUCACAUCCUGGGGCUGAAGUAGGUCCCAAGGGUAUGGCUGUUCGCCAUUUAAAGUGGUACGCGAGCUGGGUUUAGAACGUCGUGAGACAGUUCGGUCCCUAUCUGCCGUGGGCGCUGGAGAACUGAGGGGGGCUGCUCCUAGUACGAGAGGACCGGAGUGGACGCAUCACUGGUGUUCGGGUUGUCAUGCCAAUGGCACUGCCCGGUAGCUAAAUGCGGAAGAGAUAAGUGCUGAAAGCAUCUAAGCACGAAACUUGCCCCGAGAUGAGUUCUCCCUGAGACUUAGAGUCUCCUGAAGGAACGUUGAAGACGACGACGUUGAUAGGCCGGGUGUGUAAGCGCAGCGAUGCGUUGAGCUAACCGGUACUAAUGAACCGUGAGGCUUAACCUU